AUUGAACGCUGGCGGCAGGCCUAACACAUGCAAGUCGAACGAGUGGCGGACGGGUGAGUAAUGUCUGGGAAACCGCCUGAUGGAUGGGGAUAACUACUGGAAACGGUAGCUAAUACCGCAUACCAUCGGAUGUUCCCAGAUGGGAUUAGCUAGUAGGUGGGGUAAAGGCUCACCUAGGCGACGAUCCCUAGCUGGUCUGAGAGGAUGACCCGCCACACUGGAACUGAGACACGGUCCAGACUCCUACGGGAGGCAGCAGUGGGGAAUAUUGCACAAUGGGCGCAAGCCUGAUGCAGCCAUGCCGCGUGUGUGAAGAAGGCCUUCGGGUUGUAAAGUACUUUCAGCGGGGAGGCGUUACCCGCAGAAGAAGCACCGGCUAACUCCGUGCCAGCAGCCGCGGUAAUUC
rnacentral:rRNA from 1 species